rnacentral:rRNA from 1 species
UACGAAGGGGGCUAGCGUUGCUCGGAAUCACUGGGCGUAAAGGGCGCGUAGGCGGGUCGUAAGUAGGGGGUGAAAGCCCAGGGCUCAACCCUGGAAUUGCCUUCUAAACUGGCGCCUUGAGUAUGGCAGAGGUGUGUGGAACUCCGGAGUGUAGAGGUGAAAUCGUAGAAUAUCGGAAGAACACCAGUGGCGAAGGGCGACACACUGGGCCAUUACUGACGACUGAGGCGGCGAAA